rnacentral:rRNA from 1 species
UACGGGGGGGGCAAGCGUUGUUCGGAAUUACUGGGCGUAAAGGGUUUGUAGGUGGCUUGUUAAGUCAGACGUGAAAUCCCUCAGCUUAACUGGGGAACUGCGUCUGAUACUGGCGAGCUUGAGUGCAGGAGAGGAACGCGGAAUUCCAGGUGUAGCGGUGAAAUGCGUAGAUAUCGGGAGGAACACCAGUGGCGAAGGCGACUACCUGGCCCAUUCUUGACGCUGAGGCGCGAAAGCUAGGGGAGCGAACGGG